AUGAGCACUAGAGGGGAGAUGUCUCCCCGCCGCCGGAGCACCUCUCCGCCGCCGCCCGCCUCUCUCCCAGACGACAUGCUCGGGGAGAUCCUCCUCCGCCUCCCGCCGCGGCCGUCCUCCCUCCCCCGGGCCUCCCUCGUCUCCAAGCGCUGGUACAGCCUCGUCGCCGAUCCCCAAUUCCAACGCCGCUUCCGCGACCACCACGGCAAGCCCCCUCUCCUUGGCUUCUUCCUCCAGGAAUCUCCGUCCUCUGCGUUUGUUCCAAUACUGGAUCGACCAGAUCGCAUCCCCCGCGGUCGCUUCUCCAUGCCUCUCAGCGAGGGUACCCACAUCGUCGACUGCCGCCACGGACUUGUCCUUUCGCUCAGCCGAAGCCCGCCGCACCGCCUACUUGUGUGGGACCCCGUCGCCCGCGAGCAGCGCCGGCUCGUCUUUCCGCCAGAGCUGGACAACGACCAGAUGCUCCGCUUCAACGGCGCGGUGCUUCGCCCUGCCCGCAGCCAAGGGAGCCAUUUCCAGGUGGCCCUGAUAGCUCAUUAUAAAGUUGGUAAUCCUUGUACAAGAGUUUUCGCAUGCCUUUACUCAUCGGAGACCGGGAUAUGGAGCAAAAUCAACUCACUGCAGCUGCAAUCGUCUAUAUCUCUGUUAGGACCAGGACCCAGUACUUUGAUUGGGAAUUCCCUUUGCUGGUUACUUUGGGAGCCUUCUGACAAUUAUGUCAUACUUGAGUUUGAUCUGGAUACGCAGAGCCUAACUGAGACAGAGCUGCCACCACAAGUAGAAGCUCCCCUUUUGAAGUUAAGGAUUGUGCCGACCGAAGAUGGUGGGCUUGGCUUCAUCCAUCUCUCAGGAUUACACGGCCAAUUAUGGAAGAGAGAGCCUGGUUCUGUAUGGGUGCUCGACAGAGCUAUUGAAUUCGAGGAGCUCAGAUCCGUUUGUAAGGGAGACCGAUACCCCCGGGUAGUGGGAUUUUCCGAGGACAGUAAUGCAAUCCUUCUACAGACGAAUUCUGGUGUUUUCAUGGUCUAUCUCCGGUCCAUGGAGUUUAAGAAAAUUUCCAAUAUGGGGGUCAUCCGUCUCCGAUGUCCAUUUGCAUGCUUCUAUCCUGCAGGUACUGGCAUUGGUGAUGUGCAUGGUGGAGAUGACGUGUUAGAAUAUGUGAAAUGGUUGUUUGUUGAGACAUGCUAG
rnacentral:rRNA from 1 species